GCCAUGGUAAACUGUUCCAAAUCCCCCCUUCCCAAUAACAGUGCUAAAGUUGUUGGUCAUUCUUACAAUCUCAGCAUACGUGAAUUGUCUGUUGUGUGACUUCAGUGAUGAUCCUUCUUCCAUCCGGGAAUCGACAAGCAUCCGUGCAACUUUUUUUCUUUUGUAGAUACACAGGAUAAUCAGUGUCAUUGCCAUGAGGAUGACUACCAAUGGAACAAUGGUUGCAACUAUUGGAACGAAAGCACUCUUCCUCUCUUCUUUGCAUGGAGACCACAGACAAAGCUCUGGAUUCCCAACCAGUCUACCAUUAGGGAAAAUGAUUUAGUCUAAGGACAAGAAAAGGAACUUUGGUAUAAGCACAGGAAUGCCAAAGGGAAAAAAGAGUUAAUUCAUGAACCUCAAUGACAAUGAUCCGUUAAUGGAUCUUUCCAAGAGAGCCAAAGGAACCGAACCAGAGAGUUUGUUUCCUGCUAAAUUCCUGCAGUUUUAGUUAAAUGAUAUCAUUUCCCUUCUAAUGGUUGCAGAAUUAUAGGAUGAAGGAAGAAUAACUUACAAAGUCCUCAAAUUUGGUAGUUCUGACAGAAAUUCAGGUACUCCUCCCCUUAAGCUGUUCUCUGAUAAAUCCCUGAAUUAAAUGCAGAAAACAAUAUUAAUUUGAUGUGAAGUUUCACAUAAUUAAUGUUAAGUUGAAGAAACAUGAUUCAGCAUUGAAAAUAAUUUUCUACUUACAGAUGCUGCAGUAAUUUAAGAUUGGACAAUGAUCGAUCGAUCUCUCCUGUUAGUCCACUAGAUGACAAAUUCCUGAAUGAAAUUAAUUACUUAAGCUGCAAAUGGAUUAUUUUUUUUUCAUGGCCAUAACAACUUUUAGUUAAGUCUUCUGUUAUUUCAUUUCAUCUUUUGCUCAAGAACAAGAACUCACAAGGAAAUAAUUCUUGGGGGAUAAUAACCAUUAUCAUUGCAAUUCAAGCCAUCCCAUGAUGGAAGAGGCAUGCAUGGAUCUCCUUGCCAGCCUUUAACGACGUAAUAGAUUGACUUGAUGUCUUCAAUUGCUUUAACAUCUUCUCGAUCGGUUGGUUGCUGCCAGAAAUCUCUCACUAAAUAAAUUUCCAAUGCAUUCAAAAUGGGAGGAAGGGUAGAAUUUGGCAACUUAAAAAGACAGAAGCUAAGCUUGGCUCCUCUUACUGACUGGAUAGGUAAGGUUGUAGAACGCAAGUACUUGAGAACAACACCUUCUUGUAAUAGCACACCAUUUAAUUCAAUGUUGAAUUCUCUAGAUUGGUUCAUUUGCAAAAUUUCAGCAAAGUGCAUGUAAAUGUAGAAAUUUUCGUUGGGAUCGCCAGUAUCAAAUUCGAAUUUGAGUGGUUCAUCUGCAUUUAUUGGCUGGACAGCAGUUUGCAUCACCUUUGAUGGUAGAUUGAAGUCAGUGGUAACAAGGGAAUCAACUGCAGAGGAAGUAUUUAUUGAAGCACAUUGAGGACAGUUGUAAGGAAACCAUAUGCGAUCAUAGGCAUCAUCAUGGUACCUUACUAUCUCGUUGGCUGUAGAGCCAAAAUCGAGUCGCCGGUAUAGAACUAAUGAUACAGAUUCUGCUUUGUAGGUGGAAUUAUGGAAAUGCCUCAACUCUAGAGCUGAUAUGAAAGGGGUUCCAGAACCAGUGUUUAGGAGACAGACAUAUAUGUCAUCAAUUGUAGGGACAUGUAUGAUCUCCUUGCUUACCAUAUGAGAUGCAUUGUCAAACUUCACUUUGUCCCACAAAUUAACUCCAAUAUAUAAUCGGAACUCUGGCAACUUGUCCAGAUCAUCAUAAUUUCCAUACAUGAAGGAGGCUCUAAUCAAGUAGAUACUAGCUUUGCCUUCUGGUGGUCUCAGGGCAUAGCAGUUUCUUUUUCCCUGAGGAAAACUUCUGAGAGUCAUUGCAGACAUUGGAAGCUCAUCAGAAAUGAAGUUGGCAGAAAUGUUCUUAUUCACUCCAGUGUCUAUGAAUGUCCUAUCCGAAAUGUAUUGAAUGUCAGUAGUGGCAUCGGUGUAGCUGAAAUCUUCUGGCAUUCCACAAUCAAUGUUUAUGGAACCAGCUACAUCGUCCAAUUUCCUUCUAGAAUGCUUUUGAAUGAUGAAGUUAGGCUCAGAAUUACUAAAUUUGGAAACACCAGAGGCAAAAACAUUUGAACCUUUGGUUUCUAAGCAAUUAACUAAAAGUUGCAGCAAGAUAAACCCGUUAAUGUAACCCCAAGCCCAUAUGCCUCUGCAUUUCUGGACCAUUUUCUCUCCAGAGAAGAAAGAAAUUAUUUAAGCAGAUGAGUUUGCUAUGGCAGUAAAAGAAAGGCUUGAAAUGAAAUGAUACAAACGUGGAACCAAGAAAAAC
rnacentral:misc_RNA from 1 species